CUACUGAAGCAGUGGGGAAAUUACAAAUUAAUCCCUCCUUCUAGUAUCUGGUAAUAAUAAGCUCUUAUGCUUAUGGUAAGUAUAUGCUAUUAAUGUCAUACUGCUCACCCUACCUGGUCUCCUUGUUUAGUGUUCACCGGAAGCAAAUCAGCUCUACCCCACAAUAUUUUGAACCUGUGGUAAUGCUCUUGCGGCUUGCAGGAGAAGAGUACUGCUGGGGAUGUAAGCUCACUCUCAGGGCUCUCUCUUCUUUGUCUCUCAGGGCUCUCUCUUCUUUGUACUCCAGCUACACUGGACCAUCUAGGAAUCCUGUAUCCCACCUCCCUGCCCUCAGGUAAGAGGCAGGGAUGGGGGAUUAAGUUCAGGGAGGAG